UACGAUGGGAGGCUAGCGUUGCUCGGAAUCACUGGGCGUAAGGGUGCGUAGGCGGGUCUUUAAGUCAGGGGUGAAAUCCUGGAGCUCAACUCCAGAACUGCCUUUGAUACUGAGGAUCUUGAGUUCGGGAGAGGUGAGUGGAACUGCGAGUGUAGAGGUGAAAUUCGUAGAUAUUCGCAAGAACACCAGUGGCGAAGGCGGCUCACUGGCCCGAUACUGACGCUGAGGCACGAAAGCGUGGGGAGCAACAGG
rnacentral:rRNA from 1 species